ACGGCUACCUUGUUACGACUUCACCCUAAUCAUCUGUCCUACCUUAGACGGCUGACUCCUAUAAAGGUUAUCCCACCGGCUUUGGGUGUUACAGACUCUCAUGGUGUGACGGGCGGUGUGUACAAGGCCCGGGAACGUAUUCACCGCGGCGUGCUGAUCCGCGAUUACUAGCGAUUCCAGCUUCGUGUAGGCGAGUUGCAGCCUACAGUCCGAACUGAGAACGGCUUUAAGAGAUCCGCUUGCCUUCGCAGGUUCGCUUCUCGUUGUACCGUCCAUUGUAGCACGUGUGUAGCCCAGGUCAUAAGGGGCAUGAUGACUUGACGUCAUCCCCACCUUCCUCCGGUUUGUCACCGGCAGUCUCAUUAGAGUGCCCAACUUAAUGAUGGCAACUAAUGACAAGGGUUGCGCUCGUUGCGGGACUUAACCCAACAUCUCACGACACGAGCUGACGACAGCCAUGCACCACCUGUCUCAGCGUCCCCGAAGGGAACACCUAAUCUCUUAAGUUUGCACUGGAUGUCAAGACCUGGUAAGGUUCUUCGCGUUGCUUCAAAUUAAACCAC
rnacentral:rRNA from 1 species